UUUUAAUGUUGAAUAUGUAGAAGAUCAGUCUCCUUCUCUAGCGAAUCAAAGACGAAUUGGUUAUAACGACGGUUUUUUGAGAUAUAGUAACGGUUCGAAUCGUCGCCAUAGUUAUGUCGUCGGUUUUGUAUGCUAUAGCGACGGAAAAAUUAGUCGUUAUAGUCGGUUCAUUUUUUGGUUCGCUCCCUAUGGUUGGGCAAAAGCUUUGGCUAUUCAAUCUUCUCUAUCCUUCUCUAGUGGGUGUGGAUUUAAAAAUGAAAAAUUAUAUGCGACAUGAUAAU
rnacentral:lncRNA from 1 species